CACAAAAUCCACAAACCAACAACAACAAGAACGUGCUGAGGCAGGCGGCACUUGACGGGUUAAAUGUGUUGUCGUUGUUUUUCUUUAUUUUUUGCUCUGUCGUUUUUCUAUACUUUGUUGUGGUUUUUUUUUAUUUAUUGUAUGCCGCUUUUUUUUGCAUGUCGGGUAAAUUGGGCUUUGCUAAACUUUUCAUAAGUUUGAGUUUUAAUAGCGAAUUUUCGUAUUUUUUCCCUCAUACGUUUUCGUUUUUGUGUAAGCGAAUUUAAAGCUUUUUAGCAUUUUUAUAUCCCGCCCCAAGCAGCAAACUAAAAACAGAUUUUGUUCGUCAUACUUAUAACCUUGAAAUAUCGAAACAAUUUGCUUUGGAUAUGGCGAUAUGGCAAUAUGACAAUAUGGAAAGGUGGCGUUGUUAUUGUUUGUUAACUUCCAAUUACUGUCAGACUGUCUAUAUCUCUGUCUCUCUCAUACACUGCCAAUGUGCGUGUGUGGGGGAGUGGGCCGCAAGUAUAUAUGUAUGUAUAUGUUCAUAUAUGUACGGAUUAGCGUAGAAAUGUCAUUUGUUUUCUUGUUAGCCCCUUUCUUUGAGCUUCUCAAAAUUUGCCGCUACACUUUUGCUCUUACACUCGUUCUCUCUCUCCCCGCAUACUUUGUUCAUUUAUUCACAUGCAAAUUCCAUAAGAGUUUUUGUUUAUUUUGUUUUGUUUCACAUUCGUGCGUGGGUGGCUGAUCUAAGUUCUCAGUUGUUGUUGUUACUGCGACUGCCUUACGCAACUCACACACACACUGAGAGGUGCACAGGCACAAGCCGUAGCUCCAAAGAGAGAGUAAACAAGAGAGGGAGGCAGUGAACACGAUCCUGCCAAAAACGAAAUGCGCUUCGUCGCUGCUCAGCGCUCUCUUCACUCUCGUUUUGCUGCCUCUCUCUGAAACCAUCGGCAUGCAAAAACAAAAAGACAAAAAAAUAAAAUUAUUCUGCUGCUGCUGCUGCUGCUGCAGUCUUUAUUGCUUUGAACUUUUUGUGGCCAAUGGCGAUUUUGGGCGACAAAACUACAGCCACCCGCACACACAGACACGCGUACACUUGCGGAUAGGAAAUAUAAACAAGAAAAAUAUUAAAGAGAAUAUGACAGCAAACAGUAAAAUGUAAAUACGAAUAUCCAGUAUUUGCAUUUCGAGUGAAAUCAGCACACAAAA